AAUGCCCCAUGGUGAUGUCCUCAGGCAUCUGAGGUCAUCUAAAGAUCCGUCGGAUGGGGAUAGGCUCGCGUGACAUUAGCUAGACAGCGGGGUAACGGCCCACCGUGGCGACGAUGUCUAGGGGUUCUGAGAGGAAGGUCCCCCACACUGGAACUGAGACACGGUCCAGACUCCUACGGGAGGCAGCAGUGAGGAAUAUUGGUCAAUGGCCGGAAGGCUGAACCAGCCAUGCCGCGUGAAGGUCAGUGCCCUAUGGGCGUUAAACUUCUUUUGUGCGGGAGCAAUAAUGGUCACGUGUGGCCAGACGAGAGUACCGUACGAAUAAGCAUCGGCUAACUCCGUGCCAGCAGCCGCGGUAAUACGGGGGAUGCAAGCGUUAUCCGGAUUUAUUGGGUUUAAAGGGUGCGUAGGCUGUGAGGUAAGUCAGCGGUGAAAUGCCCCCGCUCAACGGGGUGAAGUGCCAUUGAUACUGCCUUGCUGGAAUGCGGAUGCCGUGGGAGGAAUGUGUGGUGUAGCGGUGAAAUGCAUAGAUAUCACACAGAACACCGAUUGCGAAGGCAUCUCACGAAUCCGCGAUUGACGCUGAUGCACGAAAGCGUGGGUAUCAAACAGGAUUAGAUACCCUGGUAGUCCACGCUGUAAACGA
rnacentral:rRNA from 1 species